GAAAUGCGAUAAGUAAUGUGAAUUGCAGAAUUCAGUGAAUCAUCGAAUCUUUGAACGCACCUUGCGCUCCUUGGUAUUCCUUGGAGCAUGCCUGUUUGAGUAUCAUGAAAUCUUCAAAGUAAAUCUUUUGUUAACUCAAUUGGUUCCUACUUUGGUAUUGGAGGUCUUUGCAGCUUCACACCUGCUCCUCUUUGUUCAUUAGCUGGAUCUCAGUGUUAUGCUUGGUUCCACUCGGCGUGAUAAGUUAUCUAUCGCUGAGGACACUGUAAAAGGUGGCCAAGGUAAAUGCAGAUGAACCGCUUCUAAUAGUCCAUUGACUUGGACAAUACUUUUAUGAUCUGAUCUCAAAUCAGGUAGGACUACCCGCUGAACGUAAGCA
rnacentral:misc_RNA from 1 species